ensembl:lncRNA
GCAGGAGCAUCCACCGCUGCAGCAGUUUGCACAGCUGAGAAGUCCGAGAUUCAAGAGGGGAGGAGGUGGGAGAGGCUGGAGGAUGGUGGGGUGGCAGUGACAGCUCCGGGCCCGCCCGGGCUGGGCGGCGCAGGUGCGCUGGGGGCGCGGGGCACCCGAGCCCGGGCGCAGGUGCGCGGGGGCGCGGGGCGCGGGGCGCACGGGCGGGCAAAUAGCUGACAGCAUCGUCACGGCGGCGCGAGGCAGCUCGCGCCCCGCCUACCUGCGGGAGGAGCCCGUAUCCGCACAGCCUGCGCUGCCCGGUCCUAUUCGAGGCGAGCUCAGAAGCAGCUCUGGGAAGAGUUGUGUUCAUCCUCAGAAGAGAAGAUGGGAAAGGUGCCGCAUCCCAUCUUUAGUUGUAAGAUUGUGGUUCCCAUAAGAUGACAAUGACUGCUGACAGCUCCCAGGCUCGCCUGCAAAGCGUUGUUGGCUACUCGCCAGGAGAUCCUAUGGGCCGAGAUGCAGGAAAAUCCAUAGUUCAUUUGACAGAAACAGAAGACACAAAACAAGGAAGCAUUUUCAUCCCAUUUAACACAUGGCGUUUAAUUUGGUAACAGGGACUCCAGUGCCCAGUGAACUCAGGAAGAGGGGUGGGGAGAGAUGAUUGUCGACUCCACCAUCGCACACAACUGCUGCUCAGUUAUCUCUGAAGAUGGCAAAUAUAUAUGCACGGCUAUUGCAGAAAUCUCCAGAAUCCUUUCUUGUUACAGCUUUAGUAGAGUUGUUCCAAAGAAGAGACUCAGAAAACACUCACAUUGAAUUCCAAGUUGUGGAAGUCUCUUUUCAGCUUGUGGCUAGCAAGUAGCGUUCUCAGCAGUCAACAGUGCCAUCUUACCAGGGGAAGAACAGAGAAGACUUUAUUCAUGUCAUGCUGUACAUCUCCUAGGAACCACACCUGACUUUAUUAGAAAUAUAUUUUAGAAGUAAAUACUGUCUACACUGAAAUCUAUGUAUCUUAGUGAAAAAUUAAAACCUUUGAAAACGAACAAGGUUCUUUUAUCAAAAAGAGAGUAUAGCUGUGAUAAUAACAAUCAUAUGUUCAUUUUUCUAAUUUUGUGGCCAUACUUGAUAUAUAUUAGUAUAUUGGAAAUUAACCUAUUAAUUUAGACACAAUCAUUAUUUUCCUCCAAGAUAAAGGCAGUCAGUUUUUGCACAGGAGAAAAUCUUUGUUACAAAGAGGAAUGUUUGGCUACCUGGGUGAGGAGGUUGCCUGCCAGCUAUUUUAAGUUAAAAUGGACUCAGUGUUGACCUGUAACUUUCAAUUCAGAUGACCAUGAUGCCCCAUUCCCACUUAUAUGGUGAACUGAGUUUGUCUGUUUUGUUGGUCUGCCCAUUGUCCAUUUAUCAUCCAGCUCUCAGCCGUCUAUUUAUCUACUUGGUAUGGAUGUUUAUAAUGGACAGAUGUCUCUUUAAAGGCAGAACUGAUUUCUAGGACACUAACUGGCUUUGGGUAUGAUUUUUCUAGGAAAAUAGCUGCUCUUAAAAGGAGAGGUGAUGAUUGUCAUGUUGUCAUGAUUGCUA